UACAGGGGGGGCAAGCGUUGUUCGGAAUUACUGGGCGUAAAGGGCCAGUAGGCGGCCAACUAAGUCACACGUGAAAUCCCCAGGCUUAACCUGGGAACUGCGUGUGAUACCGGAUGGCUUGAAUUCGGGAGAGGGAUGCAGAAUUCCAGGUGUAGCGGUGAAAUGCGUAGAUAUCUGGAGGAAUACCGGUGGCGAAGGCGGCAUCCUGGACCGACAUUGACGCUGAACGGCGAAAGCUAGGGGAGCAAACGGG
rnacentral:rRNA from 1 species